UUAGGGAAGGAGAGAGAGUAAAGCAGAGAAAGAUUUGAAGAUUUGAAGGGCUGUUUUCUAUUAUAGGUUAACUUGACAGCCUUUAAAAAUAGCCAGCCCUCACCAGG